AGAGCCUUCAAGGGGAGCCUAACGGCUGAGAGUGGACGCAAGUUCAGACCCUUCGAACCUGUCAGUUAGCACUGGCGCAGGAAUGGUGGCUUUUUUGAUG
rnacentral:ncRNA from 1 species